CUCAGAAUGCAGAAAAUGGCAUUUCCGUUGUUCAAAUUUCAAAAAUUUUCUGGGGGAGUACACCCCCACACACCUGACCAUUGCUAUCCUCCUCUAAUAAGUAAUGAUAAAUGAUGGUUAUUUUUUUUUUACUUUUUGUGCGUUUCUUCCUUUAUUUAUUUCAAAUACAAGUAUAGUUAGGAUAAAUUUUGGAGCAAAUUUGGAUGCUCAGAAUGCAGGAAAUGACAUUUCCGGGAGUCAAAUUUCAAAAAUUUUA
rnacentral:lncRNA from 1 species